rnacentral:rRNA from 1 species
GACGAACGCUGGCGGCGUGCUUAACACAUGCAAGUCGAACGGAAAGGCCCUGCUUUUGUGGGGUGCUCGUGUGGCGAACGGGUGAGUAACACGUGAGUAACCUGCCCUUGACUUUGGGAUAACUUCAGGUAACUUGGGCUAAUACCUUAUAGGAUCUCCUGCUGCAUGGUGGUGGUUGGAAAGUUUCGGCGGUUGGGGAUGGACUCGCGGGUUAUCAGCUUGUUGGUGGGGUAGUGGCUUACCAAGGCUUUGACGGGUAGCCGGCAUGAGAGGGUGACCGGCAACAAUGGGAGUGAGAUAGGGACCAGAAGACUACGGGAGGCAGCAGUGGGGAAUAUUGCACAAUGGGAGGAAGCAUGAGGCAGCAAAGACGCGUGCGGGAAGACGGCCUGCGGGGUGUAAAAAGAAUUAGACGGAGAAGAAGAGUGAGUGACGGGAAUAGGUAAAGAAGCACCGGCUAACUACGUG